UAUAUAUCAUUUUCCCUUUAUAUCACUUAUUUGUUGUUAGUCUUUUUCGUGUUGUUUCCCGAAUUUUAGCCUGUGAAAUCCUCGAGAGCAAGUAUACAUUCAUACAUACAUAUAGAGAGAGAGAGCCUCCUUUUGUUUCAAGCGUUUAGCAUUGUGCCUGCCAAACAGUAGGUGCUUAUUAAUUAUUUAAUAACUUUGUGAGCCUCAGUUUCCUCAUUUGUAAGAUGGAUGGGGUUCUAUCUCUAAAUCUAUGAUCUCACGGAACAUUCAUUCAUAGCUUGGCUAGCAAGCGGCAACCAGCCCAAGUGCGUGCGUCCGGAGAUGGAUGUGGAAGGUGUGGGGUGUGUGGUGGGGAGGAAGUUGUCGGUUGUGGAACGGGGUAGAGUUAAGGGUGGGGAAGCCAGGUGAGGACGUGCGAGCAGGACUCCAGGGGCAUGGCGGGAGAAUGAUCACCGGACACCUACGGGAAGCGGUAGCAGCAGGAAUCAUUUAUGGCUGGGUUUUUAGACCAUCACUCCUGACGUGCUCUUGGACUAAUUUCCCCUUCAGAAAAUUAGGACACUGAUUCCUAUAGGUCUUAACUGUAGUAAAACAUGUUUUCACGUUUAAACUUUAAAAAGCACUUUCCUCACAACAAUGCUAUGAGAUUACACUCACCUUUGACCUGGAGCCAUAGGAACUGGUGAUUAUGAUGGCUGACAUCUGAUCUCUUCUUGGAAUACAGAAGGGGCAAGGUACCACUAUUCAGCUAAUUCAGCUAUUCAGCAUUGGAGUAAUAUGACCAAGAUAAAUUCCUAUAGAAGACACUUACAUGGAUCUGUUUGGAGUGGGAUAGAGGACAGAGAUCAACACUGGUAAUCCAACAGGAGCCCUGCCAGUCCCAAAUUUGAGCUCUUUUAGCCUGAAAGCAGAAGCACAGCUUGCAGUGAGAGGACAUGAAAACAGAAUUAUAAUGGCAGGAGAUGUCUUGUCCAGAGACCUUUGACAUAAAGACAGAGAAAUAAGAUGGAAAGUGGUAAAAAGGCCUAUUAAGAAAGGGUUUCAUCUUCAGGACGUAUUAGGGAAGACCCUAAAAGCUAAUUUAAUUGAACAAAUAUUUAUUAAAUGCCUACUGUGUGCAUGGCAUUACGUGCUGGGGAUGGAAAGUUGGAAUAAAAAUGGUCCCUGCCAUCAGUUGAUAAUAUAAUAAUGAGGUGAUGGGGAGGAGAACCAUGACAAAGUGGCUCUUACCUAAUUUUUGACCUCAUUUAACACAAUGUUCAAGUGCUUCUUUGAGUAUUCAUGAAUCUUAGGCCAGCCUCUGGGGCCCACAUAUACUAAUACUUCAUUAUCCUAGAGUUUUACACAGAGGAAGGAGAAAUCUAAUCUUCCAAGUCAAUAGGAAGACUCAGUAAUAACCCAGACUUGGAAAGACUGAAUCUUGUGUCAGUAUCGGAGGGAAUGCUUGGGGAAUGAUUCUGAAAAAUAUGUUAAAGCCUCACCUCAGAGGCAGUGUGAUGGGCCAGGAGGAACAUGAGGCAUCAUAGGAUGGCACAAAGUAAACUGGACUUGGAUCUAGAGGACCUCAGUUUGAAUGCUCCCUUUUAUUAACUGUGUGAUCUAGGGCAAGUAUUAGCUUUUCUGGCUUUCAUUUUCUCAUGAUUGAAAGGAGGAAAUUAGACCAAUCAGGGCUUCUUAAACUU